rnacentral:rRNA from 1 species
UACGUAGGGGGCAAGCGUUGUCCGGAAUCAUUGGGCGUAAAGCGCGUGUAGGCGGCCCAGUAAGUCCGCUCUGAAAGCCCGGGGCUCAACCCCGGGAGGCGGGUGGAUACUGCUGGGCUCGAGUCCGGAAGAGGCGAGUGGAAUUCCCGGUGUAGCGGUGAAAUGCGCAGAUAUCGGGAGGAACACCAAUUGCGAAGGCAGCUCGCUGGGACGUGACUGACGCUGAGACGCGAAAGCGUGGGGAGCAAACAGG